rnacentral:rRNA from 1 species
CUACCUGAUGACCGAUAGUGAAGCAGUACCGUGAGGGAAAGGUGAAAAGAACCCCGGGAGGGGAGUGAAAUAGAACCUGAAACCGUGUGCCUACAACCGCUCAGAGCCCCUUAUGAGGGUGAUGAGGUGCUUUUUGUAGAACGAGCCAACGAGUUACGGUAUGUAGCAAGGUUAAGUACUUAAGGUACGGAGCCGAAGGGAAACCGAGUCUGAAUAGGGCGACUAGUUGCAUGCCGUAGACCCGAAACCGGGUGACCUAUCCAUGGCCAGGUUGAAGCGAGGGUAAAACCUCGUGGAGGACCGAACCACGUUGCUGUUGAAAAAGCAUGGGAUGAGCUGUGGAUAGCGGAGAAAUUCCAAUCGAACCCGGAGAUAGCUGGUUCUCUCCGAAAUAGCUUUAGGGCUAGCGUCGAGUAUGAGUAGUGGAGGUAGAGCACUGAAUGGGCUAGGGGGCAUAGCGCUUACCGAACCUUAUCAAACUCCGAAUGCCACAUACUUUGAGCUCGGCAGUCAGACUACGAAUGAUAAGAUCCGUGGUCAAAAGGGAAACAGCCCAGAUCGUCAGCUAAGGUCCCAAAGUGUAAGUUAAGUGGGAAAGGAUGUGAGAUUUCUAAGACAACUAGGAUGUUGGCUUAGAAGCAGCCAUUCAUUAAAAGAGUGCGUAAUAGCUCACUAGUCGAGAGAUCUUGCGCCGAAAAUGUAACGGGGCUAAACUUACCACCGAAGCUACGGGCUUGAACUUAUGUUCAAGCGGUAGGAGAGCGUCGUAACCGGGCUGAAGUCGUACCGUAAGGAGCGGUGGACUGGUUACGAGUGAGAAUGUUGGCAUCAGUAGCGAGAUGUGGGUGAGAAUCCCACAGGCCGAAAACCUAAGGUUUCCUCAGGAAGGUUCGUCCGCUGAGGGUUAGUCGGGACCUAAGCCGAGGCCGAAAGGCGUAGGUGAUGGACAACUGGUUGAUAUUCCAGUACCACUACCAUCGUUAUUAUCGAUGGCGUGACGCAGGAGGAUAGUGUGUGCUAGCUAUUGGAUGCUAGUCUAAGCGUUUAGGCAGUGAGAGUAGGCAAAUCCGCUCUCAUAAUGCUGAGGCGUGAUGGGGAAGGUUCCACGGAACCGAAGUACAUGAUUCCACGCUGCCAAGAAAAGCGUCUAGAGAGAGAAGUAGUGCCCGUACCGCAAACCGACACAGGUAGGUGAGGAGAGAAUCCUAAGGCCGGCGGAAGAAUUACAGUUAAGGAACUCGGCAAAUUGACCCCGUAAGUUCGCGAGAAGGGGUGCCUACGAGAGUAGGCCGCAGAGAAUAGGCCCAAGCAACUGUUUAGCAAAAACACAGGUCUCUGCUAAAGCGUAAGCUGAUGUAUAGGGGCUGACGCCUGCCCGGUGCUGG